rnacentral:lncRNA from 1 species
AAAGAUUGGGAGUGAAUUUUUGGUUGGUUUGUUUUUUGAUAAAAGUCAAGAGUGAAUUCUACCUAUACUUUAAAUUUGAAAUGAACUAAACGAUUGGAUCAAGAGAUAUGAAUUUCUAAAUUUCGGGAAAAGAAAAUCCUUUGCGGAAAAAAUAUGUUUUAAAGGGAUUUUGUUAUAUUUUGAGUUUUAUGCAAAAUAAAGGAGUUUUCGAAGCUAAGACAAGAUUAAUAAAAAGUUUUAAGCUACACUCUCUACAGCUAGAUAUCCAGUGUAUUUCCAGAUAGUAAAUCAUGCCAUACGACAAUGGUUUCAUACUGUAAUUGCUUAUAGUAUGUAAAAAUUAAUUAAGACAUAUAAUAUGUUUAUAAGUCUUGAUG